GGAUGUGGCGACUGCACGUUAAACACACCAGUUCUCAAUAAAUCACUGAAGUUCAGCAACGUUGAGCGUGGUCAACAUCCGGAUGGAUGACUAUUUAGGCAAUCGUGUGUCACUGCCG
rnacentral:rRNA from 1 species